rnacentral:rRNA from 1 species
AUCGGAUGUGCCCAGAUGGGAUUAGCUAGUAGGUGGGGUAACGGCUCACCUAGGCGACGAUCCCUAGCUGGUCUGAGAGGAUGACCAGCCACACUGGAACUGAGACACGGUCCAGACUCCUACGGGAGGCAGCAGUGGGGAAUAUUGCACAAUGGGCGCAAGCCUGAUGCAGCCAUGCCGCGUGUAUGAAGAAGGCCUUCGGGUUGUAAAGUACUUUCAGCGGGGAGGAAGGGAGUAAAGUUAAUACCUUUGCUCAUUGACGUUACCCGCAGAAGAAGCACCGGCUAACUCCGUGCCAGCAGCCGCGGUAAUACGGAGGGUGCAAGCGUUAAUCGGAAUUACUGGGCGUAAAGCGCACGCAGGCGGUUUGUUAAGUCAGAUGUGAAAUCCCCGGGCUCAACCUGGGAACUGCAUCUGAUACUGGCAAGCUUGAGUCUCGUAGAGGGGGGUAGAAUUCCAGGUGUAGCGGUGAAAUGCGUAGAGAUCUGGAGGAAUACCGGUGGCGAAGGCGGCCCCCUGGACGAAGACUGACGCUCAGGUGC